UCGUAACAAGGUUUCCGUAGGUGAACCUGCGGAAGGAUCAUUACCGAGUGAGGGCCCUCUGGGUCCAACCUCCCACCCGUGUUUAUCGUACCUUGUUGCUUCGGCGGGCCCGCCUCACGGCCGCCGGGGGGCUUCUGCCCUCGGGCCCGCGCCCGCCGAAGACACCAUUGAACGCUGUCUGAAGAUUGCAGUCUGAGCAAUUAGCUAAAUAAGUUAAAACUUUCAACAACGGAUCUCUUGGUUCCGGCAUCGAUGAAGAACGCAGCGAAAUGCGAUACGUAAUGUGAAUUGCAGAAUUCAGUGAAUCAUCGAGUCUUUGAACGCACAUUGCGCCCCCUGGUAUUCCGGGGGGCAUGCCUGUCCGAGCGUCAUUGCUGCCCUCAAGCACGGCUUGUGUGUUGGGCCUCCGUCCUCCUCCCGGGGGACGGGCCCGAAAGGCAGCGGCGGCACCGCGUCCGGUCCUCGAGCGUAUGGGGCUUCGUCACCCGCUCUUGUAGGCCCGGCCGGCGCUUGCCGACACAUCAAUCUUUUUUCCAGGUUGACCUCGGAUCAGGUAGGGAUACCCGCUGAACCUAAGCAUAUCA
rnacentral:misc_RNA from 1 species